UACGUAGGGGGCAAGUGUUAUCCGGAUUUACUGGGUGUAAAGGGAGCGUAGACGGAAUUGCAGGUCUGAUGUGAAAAUCCGGGGCCCAACCCCGGAACUGCAUUGGAAACUGUAUUUCUAGAGUGUCGGAGAGGCAAGUGGAAUUCCUGGUGUAGCGGUGAAAUGCGUAGAUAUCAGGAGGAACACCAGUGGCGAAGGCGGCUUGCUGGACGAUGACUGACGUUGAGGCUCGAAAGCGUGGGGAGCAAACAGG
rnacentral:rRNA from 1 species